AGGUACCUCGUGAUUCGUCCCGUUGUUGAACAUGUUGAGAUUCUUGGAUAUAAAAAGUAGCUCGGAUUGAGUCAGUUUCAGAAACGAUUUGACUUUACCAAAGUUUGAGAAUACUUUUAAUAAGGAAGGAAAUAAACUCUUCUUUUUCAGUAUAAAAUCAGAAAGAUGGCGUCACCUCGAUUCCUCUGCCUUUUCGCGGUUGUUGUUCUCGUGGCUGUCGUGUCUGAAACGGAGGGGCAAGUUGGGAGCACGGGGUGCAGUCGUAAAUGGGCUCCGGCCGGGUGGUGUUGGCGUUACUGCUCGGGAUCGUCGGGCAGUUGGUGUUACACGGGGCGGCAGGGGCCAUGUGAGACGGCCUCUUGCACGGGAGGGUCCUGCUCAGGGAUCAGUUGCCGAGGCGCGGCUGCCGGGUGUGUCGGGCACUGCUCGUAAUUACUUCAGUGGGGAACAUUAAAGAAAAAAUUUAUUUUUAAAUACAGAUUUUCACCUGAUUAACAAUUUAUGUCUCGUUUUAACAGGAUUGAAAAAUAAAGAUAAAAAUAAUCUGGAAAA